rnacentral:rRNA from 1 species
GACCGGCGCACGGGUGAGUAACACGUAUCCAACCUGCCGAUAACUCUGGAAUAGCCUUUCGAAAGAAAGAUUAAUACCGGAUGGCAUACGAAUAUCGCAUGAUAUUUUUAUUUAAAGAAUUUCGGUUAUCGAUGGGGAUGCGUUCCAUUAGUUUGUUGGCGGGGUAACGGCCCACCAAGACAACGAUGGAUAGGGGUUCUGAGAGGAAGGUCCCCCACAUUGGAACUGAGACACGGUCCAA